GGGCUGAUGGCGGCCGUGCAGCUGGUGGAGUCCGGAGGGGGCCUCCAGACACCCGGGGGGUCCCUCACCCUCCGCUGCAAGGGCUCCGGCUUCACCUUCAGCAGCUUCCGCAUGGAAUGGGUGCGACAGGCCCCCGGGAAAGGGCUCGAGUGGGUCGCGGGUAUUACCAGCAGUGGUGGUACCACAAGCUACGCGCCGUCAGUCAAGGGGCGCUUCACCAUUUCCAAGGACAACUCCCAGAGCACGGUCACGCUGCAGAUGAACAGCCUCCGGGACGACGACACAGCCACCUACUACUGCGCGAAAAGUGCUGAUGCAUUUCUCCUUAACCUCAACUAUUUCUACCCCAAAUCUCAACCGUUUGCACCAAACCCUGACUGA